rnacentral:rRNA from 1 species
UAGGGAAUCUUCGGCAAUGAACGAAAGUCUGACCGAGCAACGCCGCGUGAGUGAAGAAGGUUUUCGGAUCGUAAAACUCUGUUGUUAGAGAAGAACGUUGGUGAGAGUGGAAAGCUCAUCAAGUGACGGUAACUACCCAGAAAGGGACGGCUAACUACGUGCC